rfam:TPA: Bos taurus chromosome 3, whole genome shotgun sequence.
UCCCUGCUGGUUCAGACAGUAAAAAAUUUGCCUGCAAUGCAGGAGACCCAGGUUCAGUCCCUGGGUGGGGAA